CAAUAGCGUAUAUUUAAGUUGUUGCAGUUAAAAAGCUCGUAGUUGGAUUUCGGUUGAGAACGGCCGGUCCGCCGUUUGGUGUGCACUGGCUGGUUUCAACUUCCUGUAGAGGACGUGCUCUGGCUUCACGGCUGGACGCGGAGUCUACGUGGUUACUUUGAAAAAAUUAGAGUGUUCAAAGCGGGCUUACGCUUGAAUAUUUCAGCAUGGAAUAACACUAUAGGACUCCUGUCCUAUUUCGUUGGUCUCGGGACGGGAGUAAUGAUUAAGAGGAACAGUUGGGGGCAUUCGUAUUUCAUUGUCAGAGGUGAAAUUCUUGGAUUUAUGAAAGACGAACUUCUGCGAAAGCAUUUGCCAAGGAUGUUUUCAUUAG
rnacentral:rRNA from 1 species